CUGAUUUCUCUAAAGUUUUGGUUGAUAUCUGUAUUUCCGAAAUGAGUUAGGCAUGUUUCUAAAGGAUCAGAAGAAAGAGAUGGGACAAGAGCAUCUUCUACAAUGGAAUCGAUCAGAUUAACUCCAUGAAUUUCAUCAUUUUCGUUAUCAUUAUCGGGUUGUUUACAAAUGUUAAAUAUAUUAAAAUCUAUAGUCAUAUUCCCGAAUGACAUUUUCAUUAUUCCAUUUCGACAGUUAAUCAAAGCAUUGGAGUGGUACAGUUCAUGACAGGCUGGGUAUCUAAUACUAUGAAGUCGACUGGAAAGUAGAAUUUAUCAAUUUGGACAAGUACAUCCUCGACUAUUCCU
rnacentral:lncRNA from 1 species